rnacentral:rRNA from 1 species
CUAAAUACUCUCUAGUGACCGAUAGUGAACCAGUACCGUGAGGGAAAGGUGAAAAGCACCCCGGAAGGGGAGUGAAAUAGAACCUGAAACCGUGUGCUUACAAGUAGUCAGAGCCCGUUAAUGGGUGAUGGCGUGCCUUUUGUAGAAUGAACCGGCGAGUUACGAUUUGAUGCAAGGUUAAGCAGUAAAUGUGGAGCCGUAGCGAAAGCGAGUCUGAAUAGGGCGUUUAGUAUUUGGUCGUAGACCCGAAACCAGGUGAUCUACCCUUGGUCAGGUUGAAGUUCAGGUAACACUGAAUGGAGGACCGAACCGACUUACGUUGAAAAGUGAGCGGAUGAACUGAGGGUAGCGGAGAAAUUCCAAUCGAACCUGGAGAUAGCUGGUUCUCUCCGAAAUAGCUUUAGGGCUAGCCUCAAGUGAUGAUUAUUGGAGGUAGAGCACUGUUUGGACGAGGGGCCCCUCUCGGGUUACCGAAUUCAGACAAACUCCGAAUGCCAAUUAAUUUAACUUGGGAGUCAGAACAUGGGUGAUAAGGUCCGUGUUCGAAAGGGAAACAGCCCAGACCACCAGCUAAGGUCCCAAAAUAUAUGUUAAGUGGAAAAGGAUGUGGCGUUGCCCAGACAACUAGGAUGUUGGCUUAGAAGCAGCCAUCAUUUAAAGAGUGCGUAAUAGCUCACUAGUCGAGUGACACUGCGCCGAAAAUGUACCGGGGCUAAACAUAUUACCGAAGCUGUGGAUUGUCCUUUGGACAAUGGUAGGAGAGCGUUCUAAGGGCGUUGAAGCAUGAUCGUAAGGACAUGUGGAGCGCUUAGAAGUGAGAAUGCCGGUGUGAGUAGCGAAAGACGGGUGAGAAUCCCGUCCACCGAUUGACUAAGGUUUCCAGAGGAAGGCUCGUCCGCUCUGGGUUAGUCGGGUCCUAAGCUGAGGCCGACAGGCGUAGGCGAUGGAUAACAGGUUGAUAUUCCUGUACCACCUAUAAUCGUUUUAAUCGAUGGGGGGACGCAGUAGGAUAGGCGAAGCGUGCGAUUGGAUUGCACGUCUAAGCAGUAAGGCUGAGUAUUAGGCAAAUCCGGUACUCGUUAAGGCUGAGCUGUGAUGGGGAGAAGACAUUGUGUCUUCGAGUCGUUGAUUUCACACUGCCGAGAAAAGCCUCUAGAUAGAAAAUAGGUGCCCGUACCGCAAACCGACACAGGUAGUCAAGAUGAGAAUUCUAAGGUGAGCGAGCGAACUCUCGUUAAGGAACUCGGCAAAAUGACCCCGUAACUUCGGGAGAAGGGGUGCUCUUUAGGGUUAACGCCCAGAAGAGCCGCAGUGAAUAGGCCCAAGCGACUGUUUAUCAAAAACACAGGUCUCUGCUAAACCGUAAGGUGAUGUAUAGGGGCUGACGCCUGCCCGGUGCUGGAAGGUUAAGAGGAGUGGUUAGCUUCUGCGAAGCUACGAAUCGAAGCCCCAGUAAACGGCGGCCGUAACUAUAACGGUCCUAAGGUAGCGAAAUUCCUUGUCGGGUAAGUUCCGACCCGCACGAAAGGCGUAACGAUUUGGGCACUGUCUCAACGAGAGACUCGGUGAAAUCAUAGUACCUGUGAAGAUGCAGGUUACCCGCGACAGGACGGAAAGACCCCGUGGAGCUUUACUGUAGCCUGAUAUUGAAAUUCGGCACAGCUUGUACAGGAUAGGUAGGAGCCUUUGAAACGUGAGCGCUAGCUUACGUGGAGGCGCUGGUGGGAUACUACCCUAGCUGUGUUGGCUUUCUAACCCGCACCACUUAUCGUGGUGGGAGACAGUGUCAGGCGGGCAGUUUGACUGGGGCGGUCGCCUCCUAAAAGGUAACGGAGGCGCUCAAAGGUUCCCUCAGAAUGGUUGGAAAUCAUUCAUAGAGUGUAAAGGCAUAAGGGAGCUUGACUGCGAGACCUACAAGUCGAGCAGGGUCGAAAGACGGACUUAGUGAUCCGGUGGUUCCGCAUGGAAGGGCCAUCGCUCAACGGAUAAAAGCUACCCCGGGGAUAACAGGCUUAUCUCCCCCAAGAGUUCACAUCGACGGGGAGGUUUGGCACCUCGAUGUCGGCUCAUCGCAUCCUGGGGCUGUAGUCGGUCCCAAGGGUUGGGCUGUUCGCCCAUUAAAGCGGUACGCGAGCUGGGUUCAGAACGUCGUGAGACAGUUCGGUCCCUAUCCGUCGUGGGCGUAGGAAAUUUGAGAGGAGCUGUCCUUAGUACGAGAGGACCGGGAUGGACAUACCUCUGGUGUACCAGUUGUCGUGCCAACGGCAUAGCUGGGUAGCUAUGUGUGGACGGGAUAAGUGCUGAAAGCAUCUAAGCAUGAAGCCCCCCUCAAGAUGAGAUUUCCCAACUUCGGUUAU